CAUUUGUGUGAUUAGCCGUGCAUUUGUACUAGUUAGAUCCAUUCUCUUUUUUUAUGACGAAAAUGUGCCCUUCUCCAUUCGUGCACAAUUUCUGCAUGGAUUGCAGAAAUAAGUCUGGAUUCCUUCUUCGACUGGUUUAGUGUCUCAUUCUGCGUCAACGUUUGUACAUGUGGGAAGUUUUCAUUGGAAAGGAAGCGAAAAUAUUAUAUCGUGGUGAUUUGUUGUGUGUUUGUGCUAGUUAAGUUCAUUUUUCCUUCCAAUGGAUGCGCAAUUUCUGUAUUGAUUGUAGAAACUAGGCUAGAUACCUUUCUCAAGAUGACUAGCUAAAAUUACUAUAGUCCUCUCUCGGGGUAGGGAGGAUUAAGCUCGUGAUGCUCAGUUUACAACUGGCAAAAUUAUUUCAGCAUGAAAAUCUCAUCAGAGACGGGCAUCAGAUAACAUCCAAUGUGAUUGCACUAUGAGUUCGUUCAGAUUUCAGGGUGAUUCUCCAGAUAGUGAAUCAUUGUUUUGUUCAUCACUUACGAUUUUUUCUGUACAUGUUUAGUGCUUGCUGCUUGGCCAUUGUUUUCAGUCCGUCCUGAUUGUUUACAACAUGUCUAACGUUUGCAAACUCUAUAUGUGUUCUUCAAACAGAUUUCGUACAAAUGGCUAAGCCGGAAUUUUUCUGUGUCAUCAAAUGAUGCCAAGAGGUGAUAAUUCACUUUCUCUUAUCAUUUCCAUUGCAUAACAUAGCAUCAUCACCUGACUAGUCUCUACUGCUAUCCAGGUUGCUUCAGGAGUUUGUCAACAAACAUGGAACUGAUCACGAA
rnacentral:lncRNA from 1 species